rnacentral:rRNA from 1 species
UACAGAGGGUGCAAGCGUUGUUCGGAAUUACUGGGCGUAAAGGGCGCGUAGGCGGCCACCGCAAGUCGGUUGUGAAAUCUCUGGGCUUAACCCAGAAAGGUCAACCGAUACUGCGGGGCUAGAGUGCAGAAGGGGCAACUGGAAUUCUCGGUGUAGCGGUGAAAUGCGUAGAUAUCGAGAGGAACACCUGCGGCGAAGGCGGGUUGCUGGGCUGACACUGACGCUGAAGCGCGAAAGCUAGGGGAGCGAACGGG